rnacentral:rRNA from 1 species
UGGGGAAUUUUGGACAAUGGGCGAAAGCCUGAUCCAGCAAUGCCGCGUGUGUGAAGAAGGCCUUCGGGUUGUAAAGCACUUUUGUCCGGAAAGAAAUCCUUGGCUCUAAUACAGUCGGGGGAUGACGGUACCGGAAGAAUAAGCACCGGCUAACUACGUGCCAGCAGCCGCGGUAAUACGUAGGGUGCAAGCGUUAAUCGGAAUUACUGGGCGUAAAGCGUGCGCAGGCGGUUUGCUAAGACCGAUGUGAAAUCCCCGGGCUCAACCUGGGAACUGCAUUGGUGACUGGCAGGCUAGAGUAUGGCAGAGGGGGGUAGAAUUCCACGUGUAGCAGUGAAAUGCGUGGAGAUGUGGAGGAAUACCGAUGGCGAAGGCAGCCCCCUGGGCCAAUACUGACGCUCAUGCACGAAAGCGUGGGGAGCAAACAGGAUUAGAUACCCUGGUAGUCCACGCCCUAAACGAUGUCAACUAGUUGUUGGGGAUUCAUUUCCUUAGUAACGUAGCUAACGCGUGAAGUUGACCGCCUGGGGAGUACGGUCGCAAGAUUAAAACUUAAAGGAAUUGACGGGGUCAUAGCUGUUUCCU